rnacentral:rRNA from 1 species
AUUAUACAGCGAAACUGCGAAUGGCUCAUUAAAUCAGUUAUCGUUUAUUUGAUAGUACCUUACUACUUGGAUAACCGUGGUAAUUCUAGAGCUAAUACAUGCUAAAAAUCCCGACUUCGGAAGGGAUGUAUUUAUUAGAUUAAAAACCAAUGCCCUUCGGGGCUCUCUGGUGAUUCAUAAUAACUUCUCGAAUCGCAUGGCCUUGUGCCGGCGAUGGUUCAUUCAAAUUUCUGCCCUAUCAACUUUCGACGGCUGGGUCUUGGCCAGCCAUGGUGACAACGGGUAACGGAGGGUUAGGGCUCGACCCCGGAGAAGGAGCCUGAGAAACGGCUACUACAUCCAAGGAAGGCAGCAGGCGCGCAAAUUACCCAAUCCCGACACGGGGAGGUAGUGACAAUAAAUACUGAUACAGGGCUCUUUUGGGUCUUGUAAUUGGAAUGAGUACAAUUUAAAUCCCUUAACGAGGAACAAUUGGAGGGCAAGUCUGGUGCCAGCAGCCGCGGUAAUUCCAGCUCCAAUAGCGUAUAUUAAAGUUGUUGAGGUUAAAAAGCUCGUAGUUGAACCUUGGGCCUGGCUGGCCGGUCCGCCUCACCGCGUGCACUGGUCCGGCCGGGCCUUUCCCUCUGGGGAGCCGCAUGCCCUUCAUUGGGUGUGUCGGGGAACCAGGACUUUUACCGUGAAAAAAUUAGAUCGCUUAAAGAAGGCCUAUGCUCGAAUACAUUAGCAUGGAAUAAUAGAAUAGGACGUGUGGUUCUAUUUUGUUGGUUUCUAGGACCGCCGUAAUGAUUAAUAGGGACAGUCGGGGGCAUCAGUAUUCAAUUGUCAGAGGUGAAAUUCUUGGAUUUAUUGAAGACUAACUACUGCGAAAGCAUUUGCCAAGGAUGUUUUCAUUAAUCAGGAACGAAAGUUAGGGGAUCGAAGACGAUCAGAUACCGUCGUAGUCUUAACCAUAAACUAUGCCGAUUAGGGAUCGGACGAUGUUAUUUUUUGACUCGUUCGGCACCUUACGAUAAAUCAAAAUGUUUGGG